GAUGAAGAACGCAGCGAAAUGCGAUAAGUAAUGUGAAUUGCAGAAUUCAGUGAAUCAUCGGAUCUUUGAACGCACCUUGCGCCUUUUGGUAUUCCGAAAGGCACACCUGUUUGAGCGUCAUGAAUACCUCAAUCUCCAUCUUUUCUUCGGAUUGAUGGGUGACUUGGAUGUUGAGCCCUGCUGGUAUGCUAUAUCAGCUGGCUUUAAACUUAUUAGCCGGCUCUGUACUGGAUCGGUUUGACUCGACGUGAUAAUAUUAUCGUUGAGGAUGCAUGUCUCAUGCAGCCGGAAAGUAUCAAAGCAGCUUCUAGCUUGCCUUUAGUGCACUUUUACAUUUUAGACCUCAGAUCAGGUGGGACUACCCGCUGAACUUAAGCAUAUCAAUAAGCGGAGGA
rnacentral:misc_RNA from 1 species